CUGCGCCGCCAGCAGCAGCGGCACCGCGGCGCCGCGCGGCGCGUCCCCGCGCCAGGCGCGCUCCAGCACGGCGCCGGGGUUGCAGGUCGCCUCCCGGAACGUCAGCAGGUGGACCAGCGUGGUUCCGUAGGUGGAAUGGCAUUUGAGGGAGGUUAUCCAGGCGCGUGUGCUCUGCAGGAAAAUGUAGCACAUGCUGGAAACCAAACCACCCUCGUGUCGUCACCUCUGACAGACAUUCACAUGUAAACUUGAAGAGGAUAAAGGAAAAAUGAAUGAUGUUCCUUGAAAGGCUGUUCGAGGCAAAGAUCCUGGAGGAUCCUGGCGGUGA